GCCUACGGGGGGCAGCAGUGAGGAAUAUUGGUCAAUGGGCGCGAGCCUGAACCAGCCAAGUCGCGUGAGGGAAGACGGUCCUAUGGAUUGUAAACCUCUUUUGUCAGGGAACAAAGGCGGGGACGCGUCCCCGGAUGAGUGUACCUGAAGAAAAAGCAUCGGCUAACUCCGUGCCAGCAGCCGCGGUAAUACGGAGGAUGCGAGCGUUAUCCGGAUUUAUUGGGUUUAAAGGGUACGCAGGCGGUCUGUUAAGUCAGCGGUCAAAGCCCGGGGCUCAACCCCGGCCCGCCGUUGAAACUGGCAGG
rnacentral:rRNA from 1 species